GGAGGGUGCAAGCGUUAAUCGGAAUUACUGGGCGUAAAGCGCACGCAGGCGGUUGGAUAAGUUAGAUGUGAAAGCCCCGGGCUCAACCUGGGAAUUGCAUUUAAGACUGUCCAGCUAGAGUCUUGUAGAGGGGGGUAGAAUUCCAGGUGUAGCGGUGAAAUGCGUAGAGAUCUGGAGGAAUACCGGUGGCGAAGGCGGCCCCCUGGACAAAGACUGACGCUCAGGUGCGAAAGCGUGGGGAGCAAACAGGAUUAGAUACCCUGGUAGUCCACGCCGUAAACGAUGUCGAUUUGGAGGCUGUGUCCUUGAGACGUGGCUUCCGGAGCUAACGCGUUAAAUCGACCGCCUGGGGAGUACGGCCGCAAGGUUA
rnacentral:rRNA from 1 species